GAACCUUCAAACGCUUAUAUACAGCGGGGUUUUUUGCGGUGACGUCUGCUCGGUUUGCCAUGGUAACGCGGAGGAAAGGGGCGGGGCGUGCAGGGGAAAGAUCAGCGAUCAGCGUUUUAAACAACGAGUGAUCGGAUUAUCCCCAUUAGAUGGAUUAUGGCCAUUAAGAAGAAAUGUGGCACAUGCUCGUGUUGAAUUGACCGAUACUGUUGAAUCUGCGCCUGUAUGGAGACUGCAUCUUCAAAUGUUUGUUCAGAUGGACCUCUUCUCUUCCUCCUACAUUCACACCCACCAUCAGUCAUUAACGCUCCACUUUACGACCGGCGAUGCUCAACGCUUCAGGCCAUUGAUAAUCAUCUGAACGCAUCUGAAAUGUCCUCAACUAUUUGAAAAAUCUGAAAUGCAAAUUGAUAGAUCUUCAUGUGGGUUGAUAAUAAUC